GUGGUGGCUCAGAGGUAGAGUGCUUGCCUAGCACAUGUGAGGCCCUGGGUUCAAUUCUCAGCACCACA
rnacentral:tRNA from 1 species